rnacentral:rRNA from 1 species
UACGGGGGGGGCAAGCGUUGUUCGGAAUUACUGGGCGUAAAGGGCUCGUAGGUGGCCAACUAAGUCAGACGUGAAAUCCCUCAGCUUAACUGGGGAACUGCGUCUGAUACUGGAUGGCUUGAGUUUGGGAGAGGGAUGCGGAAUUCCAGGUGUAGCGGUGAAAUGCGUAGAUAUUGGGAGGAACACCGGUGGCGAAGGCGGCCAUCUGGACCGGUCCUGACGCUGAGGCGCGAAAGCGUGGGGAGCAAACAGG